GGUUCCAUGGUCUAGUGGUCGGGACAUUGGACUCUGAAUCCAGUAAUCCGAGUUCAAAUCUCGGUGGAACCU
rnacentral:tRNA from 1 species